CCUCUCUAGACAUCAGUUUCUUUAUUUAUUUGUUGCUUCCUUUAUUAUUUUGAUUUUGGAUUUUUGGUGAUGUUUAUGUUGAUAACAACGACAUGAUUUUGAUUUUUGUGAUAUUUUGAUGUAGGAGUUUCAUUUAUAGGGUUUAUUCCCCAAAAAGUCACCGCAUUUGUAUCUCCUUCUCCUCUACACAACCACCAUCACUCACCACCCUCAAUCAGAAGCCGUUGUACCCAACCACUUCUCCUUUCUUAGAUUCUUCCUAUCCCCUUUAUACUCGUUUAAGUUUUGUACUUUCUUUUUACUAUUUGUUUGUUUUUUAUUAUGGAAUCAAUUGAAGUUAAUGUUUUGAUUUGCAGGUGAUGAUAUUACACAGAGCCAAUUCUAUUUUUACCCACUUUCCAUUAUGACAUGACUGGGAUCCCAACAAAUUACCAUGGGGAUGUUGUUGAAAUUAAAGCCUUGAAUAUAAUUUAAAAGUGAUUGAUGUUAGAAAAGAAUUUGAUAGCAUGGAGACUACAAUAUAAAAUAAAAAUGGAAGUCAAUUCUUUAGAAGCACAGUCAAGGUAUGAAAGCGGGCAUACAUAUAUAAACAUGUAACAUUUAUUUCUUUAUUUUAUAGACACCAUGGUUGACACUAAGGCUUGUGGUGUUUGGGCAAGUUCUGGAGUUGAUUGAGUCAUGCAAGAACAGAGAGAUAAUCCCCUGCUAAAGAUGAAAACAUAACACUUAAAGGUGAAAUCAAUGUGGUGUAAGUAUGUGUGUGGAUAUCAUAAUCAAUUGGGUGUGAUAUUGUGCACGAGUGGAUUGAACUGGAAUGAGUGAUUGUAUAUUGUGAGAAAAAAAAAAAAGUUUUUAAGAUUUUAAAA